AUAGCACGAAAUGGUUUUGCCUUCGCUUUUGCUUAUGCGUACGCGCGGCGAAUCACGGCGCCCACCUUCCAACCGGACUUGAGUCACUUGACUCCGCCGCGGGAUUCCCCGCCAGAUCUCAUUCUCGCCCCAACCCUAACCGCCGACGGUGGCCAUGAUGGCCACCGAGCCCUUGUCCCCGGGGAAUCUCGUCGAGGACGUCGAAACACUACCCCUGGACUCCUCCUCCACUCUCGCGGCUACGACGGACCCGCUGCUCCGCCCACCUCCCCCCUCGUCCACCUUCUCUCCCACCGCCGGUGAGAACCAUGGCGCGUUUCUGGACGAGGAGGAUGAGGACGUGGUGGAUGACUUCACGCCUCCGCUGGCUCCCCAUGCCGCUACGGCCGCGACGAAGUCCCGCGAGGCGUCACCGUGGUUCGCUGAGAUCACUGUCUCCGAGCCUAGGAAGCACGCGGAGCCCGCGACCGGAGCCGUGGGCGUCAUUCCCGGCUCGGCCAGCUACGUCUCCUACCUCAUCGCCACUCAGGUGCCCGACGGAGGCGAGUUCCGCGUGCGUCGGCGAUUCCGUGACGUCGUGGCGCUCGCCGACCGCCUCGCGGAGACCCACCGCGGCCUCUUUGUACCGGCGCGGCCCGACAAGAGCAUCGUCGAGGGCCAGGUCAUGCAGCGGCACGACUUCGUGAACCAGCGGUGCGUCACCCUCCAGCGCUACCUCCGCCGCCUCGCCGCGCACCCCGUCGUCGGCCGCAACCCCAUUCUCCACGCCUUCCUCACCGAGCCCAGCGGCAUCCCCACUUCCGACGGUGAGUCUCCCAGGUGGAGCCCUGCGAUGAGUGCUGCUACGUCCAUGGCUGCUUCCGCUCCAGUGACGCCUACCAAGAGUGGGAGAGACUUUUUUGGGGUGUUCAAGGGCCUGAAGCAGACAGUGACGAAUGGGUGGGUGGCGGUAAGGCCGCCUCUAGUGGAGGAGGAGAUUGACACAAAGUACCUUGUGCACAAGGCCAAGCUUGAGGACUUGGAGAAACAUCUGGUGACAGCAUCUCAGCAGGCAGAGGCAUUUGUUAAAGCUUUUGACGAUCUAAGAUCAACGACAGGUCUCUUGGGAAUGUCAUUCAUCAAACUGGCUAUGUUUGAAAAGGAGCAGGCUGCGUGUAGUUCUCAGAAAAGACGAGCUGCUGACAUCAGUAAUUUUGCCAGUGCUGUUAUUAGAGUUAGCAGAUCACAGACAAAACUAAACACUGAAAUUGUAAAACAUCUGGGUAUUAUCCAUGAGUACAUGGAGACAAUGGCUUCUGUUCAUAAUGCUUUUACUGAUCGUUCCAAUGCUUUGCUUCGUGUGCAAAAUUUGUCAGCAGAUCUAUAUUUCUUGCAUACCCGGGCAGGAAAACUUGAAUCUGUAUCAGCGAGAGGAAUGGAUCAGGAGAGAUCAAGGUAUCAAAAGAUAGAAGAAUUGAAAGAAACAGUAAGAGCCACGGAAGAUGCAAAAACACGUGCACUUAAAGAAUUGGAACUUAUCAAGGUGAAUACAAAAAUAUUGGUAUGCUGUAUGCAUUACACCAUCAGGAAGGGCAGGUCUGGUGUAAUGGUGAGAGCUGAGAGCUGUCUCAUUGAGUCACCAGGUCGUGGGUUCGAAGCAGCCUCUCCUCAUUUGUGGGGGGACUGGGGGAGGCUUGCCUCGGUUUAUCCCUUUCCCAAACCCUACUCAUGUGGGAGUCUCUGGCACUGGGUCUACCCUUUUUUAUUGCCCCAUCAGCAUUUAUGUUUCAACUCACUGUCAAACACUGUUUUGUCCAGAGUUUUGAACCAUAGGAAAAUAACAUGAAUGAAAUUAAAAGAUUUAACAAGGAAAGGCGCCAGGAUUUGGUGGAGAUGCUAAAAGGCUUUGUAUUGGAUCAGGCCACAUACUCGGAUCAUUUUGCUACCAUAUGGACAAAGGUAGCAGAAGAAACAAAAGGAUAUGCAAACAGCAGCAGUUGAAGUAGGAUGUACAUAUUCAGGUGAAUUUGAGCUGUUACUGUGCAGCGUGAAUAGCUACACUCAUUGAGAAUCAUGCGACUGGCUUAUACACAAACAGGACCACACUCUUCAUUCCCGAAGGAUACAUUUCUAUGGAUUUUUCUGGGGAUUGGUAUCUCAAGUUGUGUACCUGAAUUUUUUCAGAAAAUAUAGCAAUACCAUUUUCCACGGCUUCGUUUCCGCAGCCUUGGCUUCAUACAGGGUUUACAUUUUCGUUUUGUA